AUAGACGAAGGGUCACAUUAACCGGGUCACUCAAUGACGGAUUGACCUCCAAGUUGUAUUUUAACAGUACAUUAUAUCAGAGAGACUAACACAUUCGAUGCAGCUCACCAGUUGAUAAAAAUGGCAUCUAGUAAGAGGAAAUUGGCUUUAAUCACCGGUUCAACAUCAAAAAAUGGUAUUGGUUAUGCAAUCGCUAAAACGUUAGCAAGAGAUGGAUACGACAUUAUUCUACAUGGAAGACGAGAUGAGGAUGAAAUAACUUCUCUCAGAAAGGACAUAGAAAAUGAGUUUGAAGUGAACGUUUUUUACCUAAAAGCUGACUUAAUGAUUCGUGCAGAGAUUGAACAACUUUGCAAAAGUAUUGAAGAAAUUCAUCCAGGGGGUGUCGAUGUUCUAGUAAACAAUGCAGG